ACGGGUGAGUAAUACAUCGGAACGUAUCCUGGAGUGGGGGAUAGCCCGGCGAAAGCCGGAUUAAUACCGCAUACGCUCUGAGGAGGAAAGCGGGGGACCUUCGGGCCUCGCGCUCCAGGGGCGGCCGAUGGCGGAUUAGGUAGUUGGUGGGGUAAAGGCCUACCAAGCCGACGAUCCGUAGCUGGUCUGAGAGGACGACCAGCCACACUGGGACUGAGACACGGCCCAGACUCCUACGGGAGGCAGCAGUGGGGAAUUUUGGACAAUGGGGGCAACCCUGAUCCAGCAAUGCCGCGUGUGUGAAGAAGGCCUUCGGGUUGUAAAGCACUUUUGUCCGGAAAGAAAUCAUCGGGGCCAAUACCCCUGGUGGAUGACGGUACCGGAAGAAUAAGCACCGGCUAACUACGUGCCAGCAGCCGCGGUAAUACGUAGGGUGCGAGCGUUAAUCGGAAUUACUGGGCGUAAAGCGUGCGCAGGCGGUGCUGUAAGACCGAUGUGAAAUCCCCGGGCUUAACCUGGGAACUGCAUUGGUGACUGCAGCGCUGGAGUAUGGCAGAGGGGGGUGGAAUUCCACGU
rnacentral:rRNA from 1 species